rnacentral:rRNA from 1 species
AUUUAACGCUUUCUUCAUUCCUAACACAUGCAAGUCGCACGAGUGGCGGACGGGUGAGUAAUGUCUGGGAACCUGCCUGAUGGAGGGGGAUAACUACUGGAAACGGUAGCUAAUACCGCAUACCAUCGGAUGUGCCCAUAUGGGAUUAGCUAGUAGGUGGGGUAAAGGCUCACCUAGGCGACGAUCCCUAGCUGGUCUGAUAGGAUGACCAGCCACACUGGAACUGAGACACGGGCCAGAAUCCUACGGGAGGCAGCAGUGGGGAAUAUUGCACAAUGGGCGCAAGCCUGAUGCAGCCAUGCCGCGUGUAUGAAGAAGGCCUUCGGGUUGUAAAGUACUUUCAGCGGGGAGGCGUUACCCGCAGAAGAAGCACCGGCUAACUCCGUGCCAGCAGCCGCGGUAAUUC